UACGGAGGGUGCGAGCGUUGCUCGGAAUUAUUGGGCGUAAAGGGUAGGUAGGUGGUCUUAUGUGUCUAGGGUGAAAUCCUUGAGCUUAACUCGAGAAGUGCCCUAGAAACGGUAAGACUAGAGUCCUGGAGAGGGACGUGGAAUUCCCGGUGUAGCGGUGAAAUGCGUAGAGAUCGGGAGGAACACCAGUGGCGAAGGCGGCUCACUGGACCGGUUCUGACGCUGAGGCGCGAAAGCGUGGGGAGCAAACGGG
rnacentral:rRNA from 1 species